UGGCUCUCGCAUCGAUGAAGAACGCAGCGAAAUGUGAUACGUAGUGUGAAUUGCAGAAUUCAGUGAAUCAUCGAAUCUUUGAACGCAUCUUGCGCUCCCUGGUUAUUCCGAGGAGCAUGUCUGUUUGAGUGUCGUGAUCCCUCUCAACUCCUUACGCUUGAUUUUCAUUAGUCUGGCGCUGGGCGGUUGGAUCGUGGCCCCUGCCGUCUUCUCUUCGUUCAUUCGAUCGAGGAGACAGCUCGGCCGAAAUGGAGACGAGUGCUUCAGCCUACGACUGGCAUGUUGGAAUCACUUGGCGUUGUAACCAUCCUCGCCUAUCACAGUCGAUUCUUCGUUCGGAAGUCAGAAGGCGCACUUUGAAAUCACCCUAUCGAAAAAUAUGACCUCAAAUCAGGCAGGACUACCCGCUGA
rnacentral:misc_RNA from 1 species